rnacentral:rRNA from 1 species
ACUUAGUGGCAGACGGGUGAGUAACAUGUGGGUAUCUACCCUUUGGCCUGGAAUAACACGAGGAAACUUGUGCUAAUACCGGAUAAGUCUUUACGGAGAAAGCUUUAUGCACCAUUGGAUGAGCCCGCACUUGAUUAGUUUGUUGGUAGGGUAAUGGCCUACCAAGACUAUGAUCAAUAGCUGAUUUGAGAGGAUGAUCAGCCACAUUGGGACUGAGACACGGCCCAAACUCCUACGGGAGGCAGCAGUGGGGAAUCUUGCACAAUGGAGGAAACUCUGAUGCAGCGAUGCCGCGUGAGUGAAGAAGGCCUUUGGGUUGUAAAACUCUUUCGUCGGGGAAGAAAAUGACUGUACCCGAAUAAGAAGGUCCGGCUAACUUCGUGCCAGCAGCCGCGGUAAUACGAAGGGACCUAGCGUAGUUCGGAAUUACUGGGCUUAAAGAGUUCGUAGGUGGUUGAAAAAGUUGGUGGUGAAAUCCCAGAGCUUAACUCUGGAACUGCCAUCAAAACUUUUCAGCUAGAGUAUGAUA